CUUUGUUCUUAGCAUAAGCUCUGAAUACCAAGUGUAACUGCAGUUGCUAAAUCUAUGUGUAUCUCCUUUUCCUGCAUUCAUUAUGCACCUACUUCUCCCACAUGUGCAUGUUCCAUCAUCGUGUUUCAUACCCACAGUAUGACCGACCUCAUGUGUCACAGUAUUUGCAAAACUAACAAGGUCCUCAGUCUGGAAACUCUCAAUUCCACAAUUAUGACGAGAGUUACAUACUGUUCCAACAUAAGCUAAGCCACCAACGAUACCAAAUCCUUUCCCUGAAAAAAUAUGUGCAGCAUCAUGGGGCAAGCGGUCAUUAAAGCCUUGUCUCUUCCAGUCACAAAAUCUCCUAAGGCCUCUGUAUAUGUCAUCUAGCAGAAUGAGGUUUCCUUCAGUCCAUAUCUCAAUUCCCAUUAAAGUCACCUCAAUAUCCACUGUUUUAAAAAAGUUAUUUGUGUGAUGAAUAACUUCAUACGCUUCCUUCUGCACAUCUGAGACAUUACUGUCACGAUGAAUAAAACGAUUGUUGUCUACUACCACUGCAAUUUCAAGAUACCGCUUGUGGAGCCACCAGCCUUCAUACGGAGUCCGCAUCAAAGUGAAAGUAUCACUCCCUUGAAGCUUUAAUUGUCGAGCUAUUUCUUCAUCUGUUAAUCCACAUCUCAUGGGUGGAGAUUGUGUCUCUUCACUGUCAAUCCUAUGUACCAGAUGUUCAAAUAUGGGACCUGAGUUCCUAGGGUACUUGCCUACUCUUCUAGUACUAACGGGGAGGACUAUUUCACAAAUGCCAAGAGCUCACAAGAAGAAUAUAAGUUCCCUAAAUGAAAUCAUUGAGGACAACAUCUUUAAAUUAUUCAACUGCUUAGCAACAAGACUCUUCCAAUUCUACAGACCAUGACAACUGGCUAAAGGUCCUCCUUCACUCCAACUCCACAAUUCCCAUCAAACUUCAUCUCAAAUUACUUUUCAGUAUGAAUAAAUCUGACUAUAUUCUUUAUCCCCAUUCUAUGUGCUCCCUACAUACAGUAUAAACACUUUAGUUCAGUACUUUUGCUCGUACUGUUGCCCUGGUCUCAGA
rnacentral:lncRNA from 1 species